UAGGGUGGGAGAACUGUGCGCGGACGGAGAAAAGGGGCGUUUUUCACGCCCGCCCUUUUCUCCGCCCGCGCGCAGUUCUCCCGCCCUAAUUGUCCCGCC